UUUUUUGGACAAAAGAGGUAUUUAUUUACAUUAUAAGAAAAGGGAGGGGGCUAAAUGAAUGCACACAAGUUAUUAUACAUUUUUCAACUUUUCUCUGCUAAAGAAACCCUUAAAGGGUUAUCUCUUUUCCUCUUCAUCUUCUUGACAAAAACAACACCUUCUGAUCAUCUUUUCUGACGAAUUCAAGAUGUCGGAGAAAUCAACGACAACACCAAACACCCACUGCUCCUUCCCUUCCUCCUCUCUACAUCUCUCUCAUCUUCUUCUCCUUCACCGCAGCCACGUCGCCCACGCCAACGAGCUGGCCCAUCUCCGGUGUACUCCAUCAGAGCUCCGACGAGCUUCACCGCGGAGCAACCAACUAGCAGCACCAUUUUUGCCAGUGAGCCCCAUGGAUUCUGGUGAUUGCUGUGCUCUGUUGUGGUCUCAAUAUUGAUACCAUUUCUACGUUUCCAGUGACGUUUUGAGCUGCUAAUUGAUUCGUUCGUUCUUGCUUUUAAUUGUUCUUGCGCCAUUGUAAUUUUGGCCGCUAUUUUUGAGAUCUUCAGGCGACGAACUAUGUCGACCUUGGAAUUUUUUUGUAACUGCUUUGUCGUUCCAGUGAUACACUUCAUUGAAGCCUGCUAUGUUGGAUUGCCCUUUACUCUCUUUUACAUCAUUGUUUUACUAAAUAAA